AGUGAACGCUGGCGGUAGGCCUAACACAUGCAAGUCGAACGGCAGCACAGUAAGAGCUUGCUCUUACGGGUGGCGAGUGGCGGACGGGUGAGGAAUACAUCGGAAUCUACUUUUUCGUGGGGGAUAACGUAGGGAAACUUACGCUAAUACCGCAUACGACCUACGGGUGGAAGCAGGGGAUCUUCGGACCUUGCGCGAUUGAAUGAGCCGAUGUCGGAUUAGCUAGUUGGCGGGGUAAAGGCCCACCAAGGCGACGAUCCGUAGCUGGUCUGAGAGGAUGAUCAGCCACACUGGAACUGAGACACGGUCCAGACUCCUACGGGAGGCAGCAGUGGGGAAUAUUGGACAAUGGGCGCAAGCCUGAUCCAGCCAUACCGCGUGGGUGAAGAGGGCCUUCGGGUUGUAAAGCCCUUUUGUUGGGAAAGAAAAGCAGCAGGUUAAUACCCCGCUGUUCUGACGGUACCCAAAGAAUAAGCACCGGCCAACUUCGUG
rnacentral:rRNA from 1 species